rnacentral:rRNA from 1 species
UACGGGGGGGCAAGCGUUGUUCGGAAUUACUGGGCGUAAAGGGCUCGUAGGCGGCCAACUAAGUCAGACGUGAAAUCCCUCGGCUUAACCGGGGAACUGCGUCUGAUACUGGAUGGCUUGAAUCCGGGAGAGGGAUGCGGAAUUCCAGGUGUAGCGGUGAAAUGCGUAGAUAUCUGGAGGAACACCGGUGGCGAAGGCGGCAUCCUGGACCGACAUUGACGCUGAGGAGCGAAAGCUAGGGGAGCAAACGGG